ACAGCUGGUAAUGUGCUGCUUCCAUGCUCACAUACAACUUCAUCACUGUAGGGGCAAAUUCUAGGCGGCAAUGAAAGCCAUCAGCAUCUCAUUGAAUGACGACUUCAUCCUUAUCUUUAAAUUUGGGCCGCCGAGGUCAAGUACUGAUAUUCAAGUAAAUCGAAGGCGGGGCAUCAAUGCUGUACAGCAUUUUUAGCUGCGUCAAUGUGGGGAAUUUUGGUGAUUAUUUUCAAUGCUGUCUUACAAUCGUGUUCAUUUAUUAACUCCGAAAGGAGAAAGGAGGACAGCAAUAUUCGUUACGUUCGUAAGUGUAAGAGAAAUUGUGUGAUUCUUCCAAUAGGUCCGCUUAAAUCCACCGAACGCCACCUCUUGAUCGGCAGUCUGGUUUUGAACAGCAUCUCAAUGAUGGGGUCGUCAACGUUAUUAUUCAUUACGUUAUUUCUUUUAGCUACAUUAGCGCAGUGUUUCAAUACCCGUUACAAAAGAGAGGAUUCAGAACAAGACCUUGAAGCAGGACCGCCGCUGGUGUUUGUAAGAAGUGUGAGAGGGGAAUGUGCAGGAAUCCUUAUCACGGAGAAUAUCAUUAUUGCUUCUGCUCGCUGCGCGUAUAACAACAAUUCAACAGUGGUUAUCAUUACGAAGCAAAACAUUCGCCACGUUACGUUUGACGGUUAUAAUAGGCAGAAUGAGCUACAAUUAAGUCAUGUGAUUACACAUCCAAGUUAUAAUGAAACCCUCGGAACGCAUGACAUUGCUUUAUUGAAGUUUGAGAAACC